AUUUAAGUAGUUUAUAUAAAAAUAAGGUUCUGUGGAUUCCUAGAAGAUUACGUAUCCUUAAGUU
rnacentral:tRNA from 1 species